GGACCCGACUGCUAUCGGAUUGGGACUAAGCCAUGCGAGCCAACUCCGCAAGGGGUGGCGCACGGCUCAGUAACACGUAGUCAACCUACCCUAGGGACGGGGAUAACCUCGGGAAACUGAGGCUAAACCCCGAUAGGCUAUAGCCUCUGGAAUGAGCUAUAGCUGAAAUCUAUAUGGCCCUAGGAUGGGACUGCGGCCGAUCAGGUAGUUGGUGGGGUAAUGGCCCACCAAGCCUAUAACCGGUGCGGGCUCUGAGAGGAGGAGCCCGGAGAUGGGCACUGAGACAAGGGCCCAGGUCCUACGGGGGCGCAGCAGGCGCGAUG
rnacentral:rRNA from 1 species